rnacentral:rRNA from 1 species
AUGCAGUCGAGCGGAACGACANAUUGAAUCUUCGGANGAUUUGUUGGGCGUCGAGCGGCGGACGGGUGAGUAAUGCCUAGGAAAUUGCCUUGAUGUGGGGGAUAACCAUUGGAAACGAUGGCUAAUACCGCAUAAUGCCUACGGGCCAAAGAGGGGGACCUUCGGNCCUCUCGCGUCAAGAUAUGCCUAGGUGGGAUUAGCUAGUUGGUGAGGUAAUGGCUCACCAAGGCGACGAUCCCUAGCUGGUCUGAGAGGAUGAUCAGCCACACUGGAACUGAGACACGGUCCAGACUCCUACGGGAGGCAGCAGUGGGGAAUAUUGCACAAUGGGCGAAAGCCUGAUGCAGCCAUGCCGCGUGUAUGAAGAAGGCCUUCGGGUUGUAAAGUACUUUCAGUUGUGAGGAAGGGUGUGUAGUUAAUAGCUGCGCAUCUUGACGUUAGCAACAGAAGAAGCACCGGCUAACUCCGUGCCAGCAGCCGCGGUAAUACGGAGGGUGCGAGCGUUAAUCGGAAUUACUGGGCGUAAAGCGCAUGCAGGUGGUUCAUUAANUCAGAUGUGAAAGCCCGGGGCUCAACCUCCNAACUGCAUUUGAAACUGGUGAACU